rnacentral:rRNA from 1 species
GAUGAACGCUGGCGUCGUGCCUAAUACAUGCAAGUAGAACGCUGAAGGAAGGAGCUUGCUCUUUCCGGAUGAGUUGCGAACGGGUGAGUAACGCGUAGGUAACCUGCCUGGUAGCGGGGGAUAACUAUUGGAAACGAUAGCUAAUACCGCAUAACAGUAGAUGUUGCAUGACAACUAUUUGAAAGGGGCAAUUGCUCCACUACCAGAUGGACCUGCGUUGUAUUAGCUAGUUGGUGAGGUAACGGCUCACCAAGGCGACGAUACAUAGCCGACCUGAGAGGGUGAUCGGCCACACUGGGACUGAGACACGGCCCAGACUCCUACGGGAGGCAGCAGUAGGGAAUCUUCGGCAAUGGACGGAAGUCUGACCGAGCAACGCCGCGUGAGUGAAGAAGGUUUUCGGAUCGUAAAGCUCUGUUGUAAGAGAAGAACGAGUGUGAGAGUGGAAAGUUCACACUGUGACGGUAUCUUACCAGAAAGGGACGGCUAACUACGUG